GCAGUGACGGUGAAGGAGAGGAGUAGGCAAAAACAGGCCGCCAGAGAGUAUACGCCGUAGGGUGGAAGCGUAUUCGGUAUCUGUUUUGUCGAAGUCGCUCCGGAGUCGCACGGCUGAACUUGAAGUAAGCCGGCCGGGUGGAAUCCGUUAUCGUUCCAUAGAGUGUCCUGUCAAAAGGGAAUUUUGGUGGUACCGCGGAAGAGAUCCUUUCGUCCAAAAG
rnacentral:ncRNA from 1 species